GAUGAACGCUGGCUGCGUGCUUAACACAUGCAAGUCGAACGGAAAGGCUCCUGCUUGCAGGGUUACUCGAUUGGCGAACGGGUGAGUAACACUUGGGUGUUCUGCCCUGUACUUCGGGAUAAGCCUAGGAAACUGGGUCUAAUACCGGAUAGGACCACAUUUUGUAUGUUGUGUUGGAUAGUUUUUCGGUGUGGGAUGAGAUCGCGUCCUAUCAGCUUGUUGUUGGGUUAUUGGCCUACCAAGGCGUCGACGGGUAGCCGGCCUGAGAGGGUGUACGGGAAAAUUGGGACUGAGAUACGGCCGAGACUCCUACGGGAGGCAGUAGUGGGGAAGAUUGAACAAUGGGCGCAAGCCUGAUGUAGAGAAGGAGGGUGGGAGAUGACGGCAUUCGGGUUGUAGACGCCUUUAGCUAGGGAAGAAGCGAUUUUGUGAAGGUACCUGGAGAAGAAGCACCGGCUAACUACGUG
rnacentral:rRNA from 1 species